GGACGAACGCUGGCGGCGUGCCUAACACAUGCAAGUCGAGCGGGGACAUUGCGACGGAGGCGAAGUACUCGUACGGAGUCAAAGAUGUAAUGUCUAGCGGCGGACGGGUGAGUAGCGCGUGAGCAACCUGUCCCUUACAGGGGGAUAACACAGCGAAAGUUGUACUAAUACCGCAUAAGACCACAGGAUGACAUCGUCCAGGGGUCAAAGGAGCAAUCCGGUAAGGGGUGGGCUCGCGUCCGAUUAGAUAGUUGGUGAGGUAACGGCCCACCAAGUCGACGAUCAGUAGCCGUACUGAGAGGUAGAACGGCCACAUUGGGACUGAGACACGGCCCAAACUCCUACGGGAGGCAGCAGUAGGGAAUAUUGGUCAAUGGGGGAAACCCUGAAAACCCAGCGACGCCGCGUGAGUGAAGAAGUAUUUCGGUAUGUAAAGCUCUAUCAGCAGGGACGAUAAUGACGGUACCUGACUAAGAAGCCCCGGCUAACUACGUGCCAGCCGCCGC
rnacentral:rRNA from 1 species